CACGGGGGGAGCAAGCGUUGUUCGGAAUCACUGGGCGUAAAGGGCGUGUAGGCGGUCAGGUAAGUGGAAUGCGAAAGCCCUCGGCUCACCCGAGGAUCUGCAUUCCAAACUGCCUGGCUUGAGUAUGGGAGAGGAUGAGGGAAUUCCUGGUGUAGCGGUGAAAUGCGUAGAUAUCAGGAGGAACACCGGUGGCGAAGGCGCUCAUCUGGCCCAAUACUGACGCUGAGGCGCGAAAGCUAGGGGAGCAAACGGG
rnacentral:rRNA from 1 species